UUGCAUAAUGGGUCAGUGACUUACUGUAUCGUGCAAGCUUAAGCCGUUAGGUGGAGGCGCAGCGAAAGCGAGUCUGAAUAGGGCGACGAGUUCGAGGGAUAAGACCCGAAACCGAGUGAUCUAGCCAUGUGCAGGAUGAAGGUGGGGUAACACCCACUGGAGGUCCGAACCAGUGCCCGUUGAAAAGGUCUUGGAUGACGUGUGGCUAGGGGUGAAAGGCCAAUCAAACUCGGAUAUAGCUGGUUCUCCGCGAAAUCUAUUUAGGUAGAGCGUCGAUCGAAUACUCUUGGGGGUAGAGCACUGACUGGGCUAGGGGUCCUCACCGGAUUACCAAACCUUAUCAAACUCCGAAUACCAAGAAGUACUAAUCGGCAGACACACGGCGGGUGCUAACGUCCGUCGUGGAGAGGGAAACAACCCUGACCACCAAUUAAGGUCCCCAAAUAAUGGCUAAGUGUGAAAGGAUGUGGGAUUGCUUUGACAAUGAGGAGGUUGGCUUAGAAGCAGCCAUCCUUUAAAGAAAGCGUAACAGCUCACU
rnacentral:rRNA from 1 species